UCCGUAGGUGAACUGCGGAAGGAUCAUUAUCGAACCGAAGGAUGGGGGGGAGGGGAGAGGGGGAGAGACCUGUUGCUGGCUUUUGGGUCCCUCUGAUCUCAGCAUGUGCACGGUCUUCCUUUCUCUUUCUCUCUAUUCUCUCUCACACCUGUGCACCCAUCGUAGGUCCUCGGAAGAGGAUCUAUGUUUUCUACAUCACACCCAUCGCAUGUCCAUAGAAUGUAUUACGAACGUCGACCGGCCCCUCUUCGUGGGUCGGACGGUGGUCGAAAGGAAUUAAAUACAACUUUCAGCAACGGAUCUCUUGGCUCUCGCAUCGAUGAAGAACGCAGCGAAUUGCGAUAAGUAAUGUGAAUUGCAGAUUUUCAGUGAAUCAUCGAAUCUUUGAACGCACCUUGCGCUCCUUGGUAUUCUGAGGAGCAUGCCUGUUUGAGUGUCAUCGAAUUCUCAACCAUGUCUUGAUUGACUUCUAGGCGUGGCUUGGAGUUGGGGGUUGCCGGCUGUGAAAAGCGGUCGGCUCUCCUGAAAUGCAUUAGCGAAACGGGUCAGCAAAGUCCCUGGCGUUGGCACGGCCUUCCGACGUGAUAAUGAUCGUCGUGGCUGGAGAGCGUCGGACAUGCAUGGAACGGUCUGUUUGCUUCCAAUCCCCCCCCCUAGACUUUGGAACUUGGACUUUUCGAGCGAAGCUUUUCAGCUACUAGUUGGUCGAAAGGCCGACGAACGCGCGCAGGGCUGGCUCUCCGGAGGGUCCCGAGGUCCUCUUGCAGUCUUUUCCGAACGCUUGACCUCAAAUCAGGUAGGACUACCCGCUGAACUUAAGCAUAUCAAUAAGCGGAGGAAA
rnacentral:rRNA from 1 species